UGUGCCACAGUGGCAGGGCUCUGCAGUGCAGUACGGCAGGGCUUUCUGUCUGACCUGCCCCUCUGCUGGGACCGGGCAUCCACGUUGCUGAAACCCAGUCCAAUCUUUCCAUGUGCAGUAUUGAAGCCAGGAAGGAUCAUUGCAAACCUAUGGGAGCAUGAAGCAGUUUGCAUCCUGCAAGAUGCUGUGCCCUUCACGCAACAGUGAGUACGGUACAUCAGAUACAUGGAGCAGGACCAAAAGGAAGUUUUGCUAGACUACUAGAGAAUUGAAGGACAUUUCUCCACCUCCCCCUAUCAGAAUGAUUGUCCAAAGAAAACAGGGAGUUUUGUGACAGUAGAAUUUGUAUACAUUCCUAUCCAACUCCGCCC